CCUUCAUCGCACAUCCUCAGGCGAUGGCGGUGGUGUCGCUGAUGGCGGCGAGGACAGCAUGUGGCAGCUCCCGAAGCAUGAACACGACCGCACCUCGGGCCUGCCGUCUGCCAAGAUAUGGCUCUGGCCGAUUGACAAUGGAGGUUUGGGAUCCUUCCUCUCAGCACCCACUCCUGGAAGAAUCAGCGGUGCGCCACGCCGAUUGAACCCCGUCGAGAUCACUCGCCAAGAUUGCUAUUCUGAAGUUUAUUGUAAAGAAAGUGAAGAGUGAGACAGGAUCCGUUUAUUUUCAACCGGUUUAUUUUCAACCGGUUUAUUUCCAUCAAAUUACCCCCACCCCCACGCCCACCCACCGAAACGCGCCCAGCGAACCGGGGAGAGAUCCAUUGAUUUGGCUAAGGUAGGAAAGAAUCUAUUAUUUGUUUGCUAAAGCAAAUUGCAUUAAUGGGAGAGAUCCGUUGAUUUGGCUAAGGUAGGAAAGAAUC